GCUGAGUCCCAUAUCCAUAAAAAGUGUGUCCUUGUAAUGUAACCACAUAAGCCAUUCAAAAUGUAAUACAUUCUUUAUUUUACUGUACAAAAUACCACAACAUUAAAAAUACCUUAAUACACAAAACACUGAACAAAAAUAGUUAGUGUUGCUUGAAGAGUCUUAAGAAAUACUGUCAAAACUGCGUUUGGGAAUUAGGCAGUUGAUCAUUCUGCAAGUUCAUUUGUUGGGUUUCCAGGGCAACGGUUGGCUCUUGUGCCAGGUUCGGGAGGAGGGAAUGCCUGUGUGUUCUUUCGUACACUCAGGACCAGGAUGUAACACUUUUUAAGUACAUGCAGAAGUAGUAUCAAGUAAAUCCUAUUAUUGAAAUAAAAUUUAAAAUCUUGUUGAAAUGAGCAAAAAUAAAUGAAUAAAUGUAGUGACUUUUCCAGGUGAAAUGAUGCCUAUAUAUAUAUAUAUAUAUAUAUAUUAUGGUUAAUUAUGGUUUAAAAACAAAACAGUCAGUUAGGCAAUCAUGGCAUUCUGUUUUGUACAGAAAAAAAAAAAAAAAAAAAAAAGGGUAAUUAAUGGUUGUUCUGAAUGACCUACCAGCCCACUUCCCUGAUUGGCCGAGGAGCUGAGAGGAGACAUACAUUUGGCAAGACUCUCAUAAGGAACCAGAAACGUCACAAGUGCAGAAACGCCGUGGCCAUUGCCUAGAAGACCACUGUUCUGCAGGGGUCAGGGGUCAUCACCAUCACCAUCACCAUGGCGUUCACUAUACACAGACACACUGCCGAUGAGAAUGAGUGUCUUGUCUUGUGAGUGUUUCACUGUUCCAAUAUGGCACCGGUAAUAUUUCCUAUGAAAACUAUGGGGGGAGUGGAGGCAUGUACAGCUAAACACAGCUGAUCCAGAAGCACUUCAACAAAACAAACAAACAAACAAACAAACAAACAAACAAAACAGGAAGUAUAAUUGAUGGAUGGACGGCAGGCACACAUUUAGGAUACAAGAUGAGAUGACAUCGUUUCAGACAUCGUACUGUAGCUUGAAGGGGAUUAUCAGAGAGAAUGAUCCCAUGUUUCAGACAUCCUACUGUAGCUUGAAGGGGAUUAUCAGAGAGAAUGAUCCCAUGUUUCAGACAUCCUACUGUAGCUUGAAGGGGAUUAUCAGAGAGAAUGAUCCCAUGUUUCAGACAUCCUACU
ensembl:lncRNA